rnacentral:rRNA from 1 species
GACUAACACAGGCAAGGACAAGAACAUGAGAGCUGAGUGCAAGUUAGUGGCGGACGGGUGAGUAACGCGUGGGCAACCUACCCAUAAGAGGGGGGAUAACAGCUGGAAACGGCUGCUAAUACCGCAUAAGCUUUUUAGGACGUAUGUUUUAGAAAGUAAAGGAGGCGCAAGCUUCCGCUUAUGGAUGGGCCCGCGUCUGAUUAGCUAGUUGGUAGGGUAGAGGCCUACCAAGGCAACGAUCAGUAGCCGGCCUGAGAGGGUGGACGGCCACACUGGGACUGAGAACGGCCCAGACUCCUACGGGAGGCAGCAGUGGGGAAUAUUGCGCAAUGGGGGAAACCCUGACGCAGCGACGCCGCGUGAGCGAAGAAGGCCUUCGGGUUGUAAAGCUCUGUUGUAAGGGACGAAUGUCUAGGGUAGUAACUGACCUUAGAAUGACGGUACCUUACCAGCAAGCCCCGGCUAACUACGUGCCAGCCGCCGC